GCCCGGCCUUGUUUAUAUUUUAACACAAAUAAGGAGAUUAUAGGGUGAUAUUUUACAGAAUUCAAAGAAAAAACCCUAGAAUUUUAUAUGCAGCCAAAUUGUUAUUCAAAGCUCAGAGCAUAAUAAAGCUAUUUCCAGAAAGCCUCAGAAUGUGUCCCUCCCUCACGUCUACACUGAAAAUAUUCUUGAAGAAGGAAGUCAAAAAACAAAAAAAUAGAAAAAACAGAAAUCCAGGAAGUGCUGCAGGCCACAGGAGAAGUCUGGGGACACAAUGGGUUUGUGAAAUCUGUUAUUAGCAACAAAUCACUGCCAAUAAAAAGGUAACGCAAAGGGCAAAGAUGAGGGAAAUACAGUUGUGCAAAGCCUGACGAUCUAGAUAAUGCCAUCAGGAAGGGAGUGAGAGAACCAAGGGAUGUGGGAAGUUUGCCAAAGGGUGCCGGGAGAUCCAGGUGUGAACACGGGCAAGUCCAGGACGUGAACACGGGCAGCUGAACAGUGUGGGGCUUAAGGCCACCAUCACAGGAACUCGCUCGGCCACGCUGCGUGCCCACUGCCGUGGGGGAGAAGAGAACGUCUUUCUUUCCUUUGCAGGUUCUUAGUUGAGACAGUCUCCUGAAAAUAAAAGUGAGAUUAACACGAGAAAAAGCAACAGCGGUUUACGGAUGCCUGCCUCGCGGGAGAGGCCUCAGGUUAAAAGUAUUUCUCUCUCUCUGCAGUGGCUUUGGAGCCUUACUUCAAUAGUAUUUUAACAUGAGUCAUAAAUCCUAUGGGAAAAGACAAAGGCAGGAAAAUGUGGGGAGGAACAUUUGCAGGAAGGGCCGGGAUUCUCCCUGUCUCUGAGGGGAUGUGCAAGUGUCUUCAGGUGCGAAAGGCAGAGAGGAGGCCAGGAAGACCUCAGUCUUUGUACCUCGCUGUCCUGCCACCAGGCAAGCAGAGACGGACCGAGCAUCGCCCUGUGUUUUAAGUUUCGUCACCUCAACAACGCCCGGUAUUUUAGGGUGUUGUGGUUUGUUUCAUCAUGUGCAGCAAUUCUUGGCACCGCAGGAGCAGAGAGAGCUGUGAGGCCUCUCUUCACCCCUCACAGGGUCACAGCGACUCUCUUAUAACCACACACAGCUAACAAGAGAAAAGAACACAUUUAUGGAGCCAAAGUUUUAUGUGACACAGAAGACCCAGAGACCCAGGAAAACCUUUUUAUGCUUCGAUUAGAUGAAGCAUGGGCAGCUGUGUAGAAAUGGGAACAAUCCAGUGGGAAGGCUGAGGGGACAGACCCAGCGAGGCUGCCCAGAGCCUUCUCAGCACCCGCUGCAAAGCUCCUUCCUCCCUCCCAUGCGUGGGGGCAGGACCCUGGGAAGGAAGGCCUCCAAGGGAAGAGGGACAGAGUGACCUUCUAGGUUCUACGGCCUGCUUUGGGAGAGACGAGUUCUAUUUUCUAUGACUCACCAUGGGGAAAAGGAAUUCUGGUUUCCGUGAUUCACACGGGGGAGAAAAUGGGGCAGGAAAUAGAAGGGAAGGAGAAGGUCAGAGACGCUUUGCUUGUGAGGCCCUUAAUGGCCCCAGACCCAAGUACUCAGCACGCCAAGGUCACAUGUGGAGCCCCAGCAGCAAGCAGGAGGCACUCGGUGCCUGACGGAAUCGACACGCAAUCCUCCCCCAACAGAGACAACACCCCAGGCCUGAAAGCAGCUCCGUGUCCAGCCAUGAAACAUAAACAGGCAACAUGGAGGGAGAAGACAGCGAGGGUGAGGGUCAGCAGGAGCCACUGGCAGCAGGAACUCCGGGUGCUGGAAUUCCCAGACGAUAAACCAGCUGUGCUCGCUAUGUUUUUGGAAACAAAAGGCAAUCACAAAUAGAAAUGCUGGAAGAAGUGGGGUCAGCAGUAAUAAUAUUUCUGAAAUCACCAAAAUUCUGCCAGGAAAAGAUCUGGAGAGCCUGCGAGGCCAAGGCUAAGAUCUCCAGUGAGGGUGAGACUAAGCUGAGGACCCGCAGAUGACCGCUGCAAUGGCCGUCCGCGUCAGCCAGGACAGGCUGCGUUAGGCUGCAUAACAAAUGGCCCCACAUAAUGACAUCCCGUGCACGCUCCACCCCACCAAGGACUCUGCUCCCCACCCUCAUGCAGACGCCCAGAUGAAGUCGCACCUCGACAGGCGUCUCCAUGGCCACUGAGGCGAAAGAAGGAGCUCCACGGGAAGACUCAGCCCUGCUGUCUGCCCAGAGGGGAGCCGAAGGUAUCUAGUGAACAGCACUGAGGCACACCACAUCCAGGCACCUGCGAGGUACUUGGAAGCCUGCCCUUCCUGCAAGCAAAGCACGCCCGCUUCCUCCAAGGCAACCAUCCCGGCAUCCUCCAGCUACGUGAAGGUCAAACGUACACAAGUUGCCGCAUCCAUCCCAAGCUGGAGGGCUCUGAGUUAAAAAGAUGAAGCGUUUGCUGCCCACGCCCCUGGUAUUCAACCGAGGAGCAGGGACAGGGGCUUCCAGGGUCUGGUUUGGAAGGGGAAGAAGGCAGACCCCAGCAGCCAGGCUCUGCAGUGGCUCCAAAGUCCCAUCGGGUGGCUGGGGGAGGACCCCAACCCCGGGGAGCAAUUUCCUGGAAGAGAUGUGGGCUGUGGUCGGUGGAGGGGACACCUCCCAUCCCCACGGUCCUCUGUGGCCCCACCAGCGUGGGUGCUGGAGAGCCAAGUGGCUUCCUCAGCUCCCUUCUUGCCUGUAGAGACGUGGGGAGCCCAAGGGCUACUUUGAGUCUCAGGCUGUCACAGUCUUUGGAUCCAGCCUGUGUUUUUAGGACAGUGCAACUCUUUCAAAUCUUUGAUCAACUUUCUUUUUCUUUUUCUUUUUCUUUUUUUUGAGGCAGGUGUCGCAGGCGUCCUUGUGAAGAGACCACCAA